GUGACACUAUAGAUACUCAGCUAUGCAUCCAACGCGUUGGGAGCUCUCCCAUAUGGUCGACCUGCAGGCGGCCGCGAAUUCACUAGUGAUUAGAGUUUGAUCAUGGCUCAGGAUAAACGCUGGCGGCGUGCUUCAUGCAUGCAAGUCGAACGAUUCAACGCAAGUUGGAGAGUGGCAAACGGGUGAGUAACACGUAAGUAACCUGCCCCUAAGUAGAGGAUAACAUUUCGAAAGAAGUGCUAAUACUGCAUGUGGUGGGAGAGGUAAUGCUCUUUCACUAAAGUCGUAAGACGCUUGGGGAGGGGCUUGCGCCUGAUUAGCUAGUUGGUAGGGUAACGGUCUACCAAGGCGAAGAUCAGUAGCUGGUCUGAGAGGACGGUCAGCCACACUGGGACUGAGACACGGCCCAGACUCCUACGGGAGGCAGCAGCAAGGAAUUUUGUGCAAUGGGCGAAAGCCUGACACGGCGACGCCGCGUGCGGGAUGAAGGCUCUCGGGUUGUAAACCGCUUUUCUCAGGG
rnacentral:rRNA from 1 species